UUAUUAUCUCGCAGUAUAAAAUGUUUACUUAGUAAAAGAUGUUUGUUUACAUAAUUUAUAGCUUCUCGUGACGGGUACUUUAGACAUAUUUCCACCUCAUAAAUACCUCGCUCUCUAAUGUGUUCGCCAUAAUAUGAGCGAGCCUACUUCACCUGCUCCGGUCCUAAAGAAAUUAGUUUUAACUCAUUCAUAUCAAAACGUGGAAACGUAUUAAGUUCUGGCAGGUUUGCAUCAAUUCUUGUUAAUAAUACUCUACGUCUGUUUAAAUUAUACUCUUGUAUAAACUGACCUGAAUAAUUAGGUAAGUUCGGCCUUGAGGUUGCUAUUUGAACAAUUUGAUCAGCAUUUUCAGGAGUUUCUAUUACUCUGUGGAAUUUAUUAAUGAGUGUAGCACCAAUCUUAAAAUCCUCCAUCAUGUGAGCAGAAGCCAAGUUAAUAAAAACAUUUCUAAAAAGUUUAUAGUCCUGUUUAAACCUGCUAUUAAGAACUUCUACCACCCAUCGGCAUAGCUUCACAUAUCUACUUUUGUUCCCCUGUAAGGUUGAUAAUUGAGUUUCCCCUUCAUCUUAAGUUUCAGGUUUAUGAACCUUGUAACCAAGAGCUUCUAGGUUGGAAACCGAAUCUCUGAAACCACGGUCUAAAAUCAAUACAUCAUUUCGCCUAAAGUAUUGAAAUAACCCACCACUGCUAGAAACUAAAUAAUUCAUUAUCUCCGCGUCUGUUUGGGUUGCAGUAAAUGGUCAUAUUCUAUAAUAUGACCAUCACAACAGACUACUAAGAAUGGUUUUGUAAGGUUGUGAUACUUAUGGAGACUGUAUGUAUUUUUUUGGUAUUUAUAAUUUUAAUUUUUUUAUACGUCAAGGUAUGUUCCUUCAUACCAGUGGCGAAGGGUGAAUUUUCUUAGAAGGGAAGCCGGACCAAAAAAAAACCUUACCUUGCUUGUGAUGCGUGAAUUCCAGUUACUAUGGCUUGUAUCUUAUAUCUUGUACGAUGAAUUUUCUUUAGCCCACUUUCACUAUACAUGUAAGCACUGAUACAUGAAACAGUGUCUUGCAAGUAUAAUAAAAGUGGCUUUGAGAAAAGCCGUUUGGGGAUUGGUAUGAAAAGGAUGUUUCAAUGAAAUGUGAUGAAAUUAAAACAGAAAAUACCCUACUCCAUAUCUAUCAUGCAUGUAUCAAUAAAAUAUAUAAUAUACCUAAAGCGUGCAACUUUAAUUUUUACAAUACAUGCCAAAUCAAACAAAACCAUUCAUGCAUGCAAAUAGUAAUAAUCAUCUAAUGCGAAAAUCGAAUUCGCAAUAUUUCGCUCAUCGGCGAAUGACUAUUGUAGCAACAAUCUGGUCGUCAAAAUCAUAUGAAAAUGAUAAAAUGAAAUAUGUAUCUACUUUGCUGUUACAUAAUCCUUUAAACUGACUGACUACUUUUCUACUUAUACUCUAAACUCUAAAGCUAUUCGUCUAUUUUUUACAAAAUGUGCUAACACAUUAUCAUAAAAGUUGGGUUGAUUUAAUAAAUGUUUUUCUAUGGAAAGCAUAGCUAAAUCAGAUAAUCGUUGCUCUUUUUGAGAAUUACGUAUGUAUUUAUGAAUUCGCUUCAAGGCCGAAAACGACCUUACCGCGGAAGCUACUGUAACGGGAAUGGUCAAAAAAAUACUACAUAAUAUUAAAACUUGUGGAAAAGUGUCACCUAAAAAAGAGUUUUGAAAUCUAAGGUAAAGCUCGUAACCAUCUAAUUUGUUUACAGAUGGAGUUGUAUAUAAAACUUUCAACUCGUUUUUUAAAGCAGCGUGCUCAAAUAUUCUAGGAAAUUGAACUAGUAAAGAAGAUAUUUCGUUUGGGAAUGAUCGACUAUAUAAACUAUACUUAGACUUAUUAAGUAAAUUAAGAAAAGUCAUAUUGGAAAGUGUACCUGUGUUGUAUUUGCAACUUAACAUUGUCUAUUAUUUCAAUGAAAAGACGCCUAUACAAAGUUCUGAUGUCUAAUUCAGUAUUUAACCGCCUACGUUGUCGCAGUGGUUCACUAAACUCCUGUCAUAAAUAAAAUCGAAAUUGUUAAUAAAGUCAUUUGAAAUCCAACUAUUAAAUGAAUCUAUUUCGCGGUGUGCUUCUUCGAUAUCAAUCUGUUUUGACUGGAGUAAAUUAAAAAGAACAUCGGUUUUCUCAAAAAUAUUAGAUAAAAUGUGCAAAAGGAAGCAAAACUGCUUGUUUUCCAACUUACUGAGGAAACAUUCUGCCAAAGAAAGAGAUUCACGGAAGAUUGCGGGUUAUCUAGAAUGGAAUUAAAAGUUUCGAUCAUGUCUAACCGGUUAACCGGCAGUUAAAAUAACGUUAAUAAUACGCGAGUGAUAAUGCCAACGCGUUUCGGAUACUCCGGGAAAACGACGGUCAGCUAUUUCCUUUUAAAGAUUCGAGCGUUUAGACGAUUGAUUAAAAAAACGAACAAUAUUAUUAAUGUGUCUAAAAAAUGUCUUUAGUUCCUGUAUGUUUUCAAGGGACCGACUAAGUACUAAAUUUAAUACAUGUGCGUAACAAGGAACAAACAUUGCCUACGGACAUGCUUCGCGAAUUUUCGCCUGGCCCCGUCGUAAGAUUGACCGACUAACUUGUUCCUACAGCGAUACUGGUCGAGUAUCUCAAAUAACUGAUUUGAUAAAACAUCAGCAGUCCGACUGCCGCUAACGUCAUAGAAACCAAGAAAACGUUCUUCGAUUCCAGUUUCAGAUAAAUACCUCAAUAUUAUCGUUAGUUGUUCCCUAUGACUAACAUCGGGCGUUUCGUCGAUCAUGACCGACACAAACUGCGCUUUAUUUCUUUCUAAUUUAAUUUGGUCGCGUAAAACGAAUGCGAUACUUUGUAUUAAAUCAUUUUGUAUAUCGCUCGAAAGACCAGAGAAUGUGGGAUUCUGUGUUGAGGAUCAUUGUUCCAGAUGCGAAUCGAUUACGGUAUCAUACUUGCUUAAAUAUAACAACGUUUCGAUAUAGUUACCGCGGUUAUCGGAUGCCAGAUUUUCGUUGUGGCCGCGAAAAGCUAAUUCCUUUUUACCUAGCAAAAUGACUGUGUCGAUGAACCGUUUCAUUCAACUUCUAUUCCGAUCUACAUUUUUAUUACAUGCGUAUUAGCAAAAAAUGUAAUAUAAAUAAUAAAUUUUAUUUAUUUUCAGGCAACAUGGCCCAUAGAUAUAUACAUUAGAGAGCAACAUAUAUAUAAAGUAUACAGUAUUGGUUAGUAAAUAAAAAUCUUAAAACUAUAUUAGUAACACUUCCUAGCACUACGUGUUUGUGCGUUCGGUCGGGAUUCGUCCGCGGAAGCGACGGAAAACCACUCCUUGCGGCCAAAAGUUAUCGUCCAUGACGAGGUGCAGGUAGCAGUAAGGGACGCGCACCACGAACGCCUUGAAAUUGACGUUUCGGCGCGACUCCAGCAGCUGCAGUCUCGGCGCGUACUGCAACUUUUGGCGCACGUAGUCGUCGAUGUCCUCCGCCCGCAUGCUGUAGUGUAGGCGAGAUAUGUACACCGGAGUAUUCGGCUGCGCAGGUCGCAGCCUCGUACCCUUGUUUGGGGCUCCACAGGAGCCUUGCCGCAGCAGUUCUGGUUAGUUCGUUUCCGGUGCUUCCUCUUCAGCACCGUUACGAAACCGUCUUCGUCCGCCCAGUUCCUCGGUUUCCCGAGUGGAACAGCGGAGGCGCAAACGCUGACCAGCUAUUUAUUUGGUCGUGCAGUUUGCGUGGCGCUACGUGGAUGAGGCGCAGUUGCGGGAGCCGGGGCAUGCGGUCAGUGCCCGUUGCUGACUAGGCUGACGGCGACGACGAAGAUAAAACUGCUGACGCGAAGCCCGUAGCCGAUGUGUCGAGUAGGUAUGACCUCGACGCGUGUUUACGUUGCUUACAUGCGCCGGUGACCCAGUUUUAUUCACAGAAGUGCGCAAUUCAACGACUUCCUUGCGCAAAUCUGUGACGUCUUUCUGGGAUGCCUCCAGCUUCCUGUGCAAAUCGGCAAGACUUGCCUUUAGGGAGACGAUGUCCUUCAAAAGGCACGUUACGUCGACGUGGUCGAAGGUGACAGGAGGUAACUUGUUUAAGUCCUUCGCCACAAACGUCGGCACAUCGUCGGGUUCGGUCUCCUUCAGCACCGUGAUUAUAUCUUGCAGACUCUUCUUUGUCCCGUCACGCCUACGGGACACCAUCUGCUCGCUCUUGUUCAGCAACUUGAACACAAGCAUGUCAUCCUCGACGAAUCGUGUUUAUAAAUGGUAUGGGAAGAAUAAUAAAACGAGUAGUAAAAUUAAACUCUUUUACCUUUUAAUACAAAAUUACCGACUAAUCUGAAUAAAAAAAGACAAAAACGAAAGGAAACAAUAUAUCUGAAAAUGAAGUUCACAUUCUUACAAUUACAAAUACCGAUGGCACUUAUUAAAAAAAUGAAGACAAUAGUGGGGUAGUCCAGGACAUUCAGGACAAUAGGUUGCCACUUUUUUGUCUUGUUUUUAGCAAGUCUUGAUCCUAACGUCGUGACACUGGUUUUGUAGCAUUCUACACAGAAACGCCUGGAUUGCCUUACUUUGCCUUCCUUUGCUUUUAAUGUAUGUUUCAGUCUUUUAGGUCUCUUAGAAAUAGAUUCAUUUUCGGUUUCAUUUUUACCAGAAUCUACUAGAUAUUCCACUAAUUGACGUCGGGAUUCUACAAUUCCUUGUUGAGUUGUAUUUUCGCAAAACAUGAUCCAGGCAUUUACUACAGCCGUAUUUAAAAUUAAUUCGAUGCCUAAUUUGUUAUACCAUUUUAUGGUUUUCCUUAACCUCCGGAGUUCCAGGCGUACUUUUUUUGGAGCUUCGUUAUGAAACUUUUGUAGUGCACUACAUUUUAGUAACUUGGUAUAAAAAAAAUAGGAAAAAAAUAAUAAUUGGCAAAAUUUAGUUUUUCAUGUCCUUUAUAAGUGACAAAGGCAUUCAAUCAAUAUGUCUUUUGUAAAGGACAUAGCAAUUUUUCUGAGUUACCCAAGAGUAUGCUAGGAAUAUGAGUAAUUUAAAGCAGAGCUUUCAAUGUAUGAGGGGAGUUCAAUGUAUUCUCGGUAUAGGUACGAAGGAAAGGGCGGAAAAUUCUGAAUAAAUUUUAUUUUUCAAUAUACUCCCCUAACAUCUCAAUACAUUUGUUAGUUCGUGAAAGUAACUUCUCAAUUCCUUCUGAAAAAUAUUUUUCUUCAUGGCCCGAAAAAUGACCGUUUAUUGCUCCCUUCAACUCUUCAUCGUCUGAAAAAUGCUUUCCACGAAGGUCCUUUUUUAGAUUAGGAAAUAGAAAAUAAUCACUGGGGGCCAGGUCCAGACUGUAGGGUGGAUGGUUGAUUUCUUCAAAUCCGUACUGCCGCACAGCAGCCUGGGCAAGGCGCGCCUUGUGAACCGGCGCGUUGUCGUGAAGCAGCAACACACCUGCGGUUAAUUUUCCACGUCUUCUUUCUUUGAUUGCGUCCUUUAAAUUACGCAGGGUGGUUGCGUAUGAUGCAGCAGAAAUACUUUGACCUUUUUUGUGUACACGAUUAGCAAAAUUCCCUUAGAAUCCCAAAACACCGUGGCCAUGAGCUUUCCUGCGGACGGAGUGACUUUGAACUUCUUCGGCGGGUCUGAUCCUUUUUUGUGCCACUGCAUAGACUCUUGCUUGAUUUCAGGGUCAUAGUGAUGAACCCACGUUUCAUCACCAGUAACAAUCCGAUCGGAAAUACUUUGCGGGUUUUCACUACAGAGGUCCAAAAACUCCUUACAACAGUCAACUCGCACUUGUUUCUGUAGCGCUGUGAGCAUUCGCGGCACCCAUCUUGCACUGAAUUUUGACAAAUUCAGGCGCUCAUGAAGGAUUGUAUAAAUGGUACCCACGGAUAGCUUAGUUCUUUCUGCUAAUGUUUUCACUCUUACACGGGCUUCUUCAAGUACAAGUUUUUCGACUAAUUUGACGUUUUCUUCAGUAGCGGCACAAAUUGGCCCACCAGCGCGGGGGUGGUCUUCAAUGCUCUCUCUACCCCGUUUGAAUUCACUUGACCACUUCUGAAUUGUAGAUAAUGAAGGCGCAGAAUCUUGGUAAACAGCCACCAUUUCAUCAUGGAUAAUUUUUUGAGAUUUUCCUUGUUUUGUGAGGAAUUUUAUCACUGCGCGAUGCUCGAUUUUUUCCAUCAUUGUCGAAUCAGUCAUCAUAGUUGUGUUUUCGCAAUGAUAUCUUGAAUACUAAUGGUGGCAAUUAAAUGAAAUUUUGUAUUCAUACCCUCAAAGAGUGUCAUUAGCUAAUGAGAUAAUUAAAUUACCCUUAUCAUUAGUAUAUCACCUCGAUACCGAGAAUACAUUGAACGCCCCUCGUAUAUUAUUUAUUCUUAAUAUUCUUUAUCAAAAUUAACAAAAUCCAAAUUCUUAUCAACAUAAGUAUCAUCAUUAAACUUUCUCUUACAAAAUCAACAUAAUUAAACAUUAGGAACAUUAGAGAUCAAUCAGUUACUCUUAAAACUUAAUUAUUCAGACUCAUAUUUAUCAGUCUUCAUGGAAAUUGGUGAAACAAUUUCGAUUAGGAGUGAAACACAGAUAAAUCCCACAUUUUUUACAGGAAACUGUGUUUUUUUGUCACAACCAAUGUUUCUGCAGCGCGAUUGUUUUGCACCAUAUUCUGGCAAAUGCGCAGCGUUUUUGGUACGCUGUUCUUUGGAGGGAACUGGCUGUAUGAUGACUUUACGCUUUUUGUGUUUUGGCUCGAGUUCUUCAAAUUCAGUUUCAGCGUCGCUCUCACAUUCUUGGUCAUUUUGAUCGAUGAGUUUGGAACCCAGUUUCAAUUUGUAUUCCCGCAAUUGUACAAUAUGUUUCCUUAACGUGCCCUUCUUUGCUUCUACAGCCCUGUAUUGGAGCCAAGCGUUCACCACACAUAAAUCGAAAAGAUGAGAUAUUACACGAAUUGUCCACUUUUUUGUACGAUUGCGCGAGGGACAAACUGAAAGCAUUCGAUCAGCGAGAUCAACUCCGCCCAUUUUUUCGUUGUACUUUUUGAUAACAUCAGGCCUCGUCACUGUUACUGUAACUGUGGGAGGUAACGAGUAUACUUUGUUUAAGAAAAGCAAUAUAUUUAGGUAGAUAUAAUGAAAAUAAUUGUUAAUCAAAAAAAAUAUAUUAGUUAUUUAGGAAAUCUUUCAAAAUCGGAAUUAAUAAAAUCAAAAUAAUGUUAAUGAUUAAGGACUCUUUUUUUGAACUCGACGUCGGUGCGGGGUAACGCAAUUUAUUAGAAUAGGGCGCAUUGUCUAUCACGGCGACUGAAUUAGGACUCAGGUUAAAAUUAAUUUAGUCUUCAGCCAUCUUUCAUAGCUUUUUAGACUUUGUCCCAGAUUUAAACAUUAACAAACUAUUCGGGAUAAAUACAUCUUCGAACCCUGCGUGGACGAAUAAAAUUCUUUGUCCUUUGGAAAUGGUGCUUUUAAUCCUUUAUCCGAAUUGUCUGACCACGAUUUGCUCUUGGUAUGAGAUGAGUGCACGUAUGACUCAUCCGUAUAUACGAUAGUUCUUCCUUCGUCUCUAUAUCUUUUAAUAUUUCGAACAUAUUCGAUUCUUUUGAGCCGCAAGUCGUGUUUUUCAAUGAGGACUUUCCUAUUAUUUUCGGUUCUCCUCCAUCUAAAACCUAAGACUUUAAUUAUUCUACUUAGGUUACUUACAGAACCUUGAAAAUUUAUAUCACGUUGCAGCUAAGUAGAUUUUUUUUAAAAUUGGCAUCUUUUCUGCCACCCGAAAAUUAUGAAUACAGCUUUUGAUAACACCUUUGUCAAAGUUGUCAAUUUCAGUUAUUGGCCUUGAAGUUUGCCUUUUUUACCCCGGUGUACGGAAAACGGAAAUCAUGCCCGUCUUUAUCCCUUCGGCAAUAAUAUUGCACUCGGUCCGUAUCGAACAGCCGGCUGCCUCAGUAGCUCUUUAUUGAACUCUCGCAACAUUAUGCACGCCUUCGCCCUUCUCUUUCUGCAUAUAAUUCACCACAUUAUGAAUAAUUUUUGCGCUUGUCGGCGUAAGGGCAUAAACUGCGUUACGCGUGUGUACGCACGUGAGCACGUCGCGGGCCACGCUUCUGGUGCACGCACGUGAGCACGUUCGCGUGCUUAUGCGCGGGCAUCGGCGCGUGCAUCCGCGUAACGCAGUUUUCUCAGUACAAUUUUGACGUUGGAGGUGUACAGUCGAGUAAUUAUGGAUAAAUUAAUGUUGUAUUAUUUAUCAAGACGACGGCGACGACGAAUUGCCAAAAAAAGACGCCAGCCAGUAAGCCCGUACGUUGAAUCUAGGUUACUGUGCGGGGAAUUCGUGGUGAAGUUUGGUAUAUUAAGAGAAAAUGAAAGGUUUUUUUUCAAAUAUUUUAAAGUUUCAUUACAAGUCUAUGAUGAAUUAUAUUCAAAACUGGAGCCCUAUUUGAGGACUAACAAUCUACGAUUGAAAUCUACGUCAAUCGUAUCACCAAUAGAACGAUUUGCAAUGACAUUGCGGUAAGUAAAGACAUUUCGAUAUUAAUAAUCAUCUUUAUUCAUGUAAAAAAACAGUCAUUAUUUAACAAAAGUUUAGAACACUCAUAUUUUUUUGCCAAUUUAUGUAAGUCACAUUACUGUUUAGCCACAUCAAGCAAGAAAGAAGAAGAAGUUCUUAUUGUUUCGGCAGUGACACCUGAAUAUGGCUUAAAAUGUUUUUCUUGAUGUGGUUCACUCUGUUCUUAGGACCGAAACACAUAACCGCACACUUAUUAAUCAUCAUAUUAAUCACAGUUUCUUACAUUUAUUAAUUAUAUUUUGUUAUUUCUAAAUUACACAGUUUUAUCGUUUUCGUUUUUUUUUUAUCUAUACCUACUUAUUCACUAAUUUUUUUAUAUACUUAAUCACAACAGUCAUCACAGUGUCUUGCAUAAACGCUACGUUACAAUUAGUUUUUGAUUAAUCAUUUGAAAUACACUAAUAAAAUCACAGGUUCAAGUUUAAAAUAAAAAAACACAAUAACAGUUAAAACAGUACAAUAAGUCAAAAUGUCUUAAUUAUAUUAAUAUACCUACCUUACAAAGUAUUAAUUAUAAUGACGCAUAUUGAUUGCAAGUUUUUACAUAUGAAUAUUUCCCUUAUUAAUUAUUCCCUUCUAUUACUAGAUCGGGUACUAAUAUUAUUUUAAAUUCUUAUUUAUCAUCACAAUCAUAAUCACAGUUUAUUACAUAAAAGAUUAAAUUUAAGAAGAGGACAUAUGAAGGAGCAAUGUUAUGAGUAGGUUCAAGAAAAAGGUCCAUUAAGUAAAAAAGGGGUCUAUUGAUACACUUUUUUAUUUGACCCCAAAAUAGGGUUUAAGAUAAAAGUGUCCGAAUCGACCCCGUUUCUUUCCUUAUGAACAUUACACCUCAAGGCUUGUCGAAUGCCCUUGCAUAUCAUAAUAAUUGCACAUGAGACCAGAAAAAUAUAAAUAUAAAAUUGCGCUUUUUACUAACUUAAAUAGUUCUUCAUGUUCUUCUCUUUCUUUUGUUCUUAAUAAUUAAACAGUCUUAAUCAAAUCUUCAGUCUUUCUUGUUACCUAUUUAUUCAUUGUUCGUAUCUGAUCUUACAUUUAAGGAUUCUAAAUCAUUCGUUACCGUAUUUUGCGUUAAUGAAAGGUCAUCAAUGGUAAUAAUCAUUUCUUUUUCUAUAUCAAUCAAAGCUUCUAAUACUUUCGUACGAAAUAAUAAUUUUUUAAAGCAACUCAAUUUUUUUACAGUUGGUAAUAAUGACUUAAAAAAAUUCAAGUCUUCGUCCAUAGUAUCUGCAGUGUUAUUCUUCACGCAAUUUAACAACUCUAAUUCGAAAUCAGUUGGCGAUUCGCACUUACGUUUCUUGGAAGAUCGUGUUUCUUUGGUAAAGCUGGAGCUGGUGCUAGAUAUUUAGUUAGUGGACAUACCUUCGUCGAUAUUCAUCUGGCGUAUCAUACAGGACUAACCACGGUCAGAAAAAUAGUAACAGAAGUUUGUCAAAUUAUAAUUGAAAGGUUAAAGGAAGAAUGUAUACCAAAAUUUUCCCGUGCGCUAUGGGAAGAGACUGAAAAAGGUUUUUUAACGCAAGCCCAGUUUCCUAACUGCAUAGGUGCAAUAGACGGAAAACAUAUACGCAUUAUAAGACCUCCACAUAGUGGUUCCCUCUAUUACAACUAUAAGCAUUACUAUUCUAUUGUACUGCUUGCAAUGUGUAACGCCAACUAUGAGUUUACCUAUAUAAACGUGGGAGUGCAGGGUAAAGAAUCUGACUCCGCAAUUUUCACACAAAGCCGAUUGUACGAACAAAUCAACAAUGACUUAAUAUAUAUUCCUCCUGCCAAAGCAUUGCCCGUAAUACACAAUGAUAAACCAACCAACAUUGCUGCAACCGCAGCUUUGCCCUAUAUUAUUGUAGGAGAUGAAGCAUUUGGGUUAUCUAGCCAUGUCAUGCGGCCAUAUGCUCGAGCUCUCGAUUUAAACUACAAAAAAAAAAUAUUCAAUUAUAGGUUAACGAGAGCGCGACGCUAUAUUGAGUGUACAUUUGGUAUCAUGGCUAAUAAAUUUCGCAUACUCCAUCGUCCAUUGAACGUUGGAAAAGACAAAGCAAUUUGUUUUCUUAAAACAAUUUGUAUUUUGCAUAAUUUUAUAAGAUCAAGAAGUCAAAUUAAUGACUUUCAUGAUAUUGUCAUUAUACCAGACCAUAUACGUUCAGUUCGGGGGUUAAUUGGAAAUACCCACAGAGAUUCGUAUACAUUACGCGAUAACUUCGCAGAUUAUUUCGUUGCAGACGGACAGCUGUCAUGGCAAGAUCGCAGUAUUUAUUGAAGAUAGUUGGCUUUUUUAUAAUUUAUGUACAUUCAAUAAUUGAAUUUUCACGGUUUUUUACCACACAUUUUUUAUUAACAUAGCAGGCAUAUUUUAAUAAUAUACCUAAUGAUUUUAUUUGUUAAAUUCAUCGGAUGUAACCAAAUAACUUAGAUUGUUGUAAACUAAAGUUGAGAGAUGUCAAAGAAAAACCUACAAAACUACAAAACGCACGCUUAUUUUACAAAGUUACUGGCCCAAUUCUAAAACCAAUAUAAUAAAUAUUUUAGUUGA